rnacentral:rRNA from 1 species
UACAGAGGUGGCUAGCGUUGUUCGGAUUCAUUGGGUGUAAAGGGUGCGUAGGCGGCUUGGAAAGUCAGAUGUGAAAUCCUAGAGCUUAACUCUAGAACUGCAUUUGAAACUUCCAGGCUGGAGUGUGAGAGAGGUGAAGGGAAUUCCCGGUGUAAGGGUGAAAUCUGUAGAGAUCGGGAGGAACACCAGCGGCGAAGGCGCUUCACUGGCUCGCAACUGACGCUGAGUGCACGAAGGCGUGGGGA